UUAAAUUGAAGAGUUUGAUCAUGGCUCAGAUUGAACGCUGGCGGCAGGCCUAACACAUGCAAGUCGAGCGGUAGCACAGAGAGCUUGCUCUCGGGUGACGAGCGGCGGACGGGUGAGUAAUGUCUGGGAAACUGCCUGAUGGAGGGGGAUAACUACUGGAAACGGUAGCUAAUACCGCAUAACGUCGCAAGACCAAAGUGGGGGACCUUCGGGCCUCAUGCCAUCAGAUGUGCCCAGAUGGGAUUAGCUAGUAGGUGGGGUAAUGGCUCACCUAGGCGACGAUCCCUA
rnacentral:rRNA from 1 species